UCUCCGUUGGUGAACCAGCGGAGGGAUCAUUACAGGACUCGCAAGACUCCUACAACCCUGUGAACUUAACUAUAAGCACGUUGCUUCGGCGGGUGUCUCGGAGGGGGUUCUCCCUCCCCGAGACGCUAAACCCGCCGGCAGCCUACUAUACUCUGUCUCUUUGCGUUGGCAUCUCGAGUACAAUCGAACAAGUUAAAACUUUCAACAACGGAUCUCUUGGUUCUG
rnacentral:misc_RNA from 1 species